rnacentral:ncRNA from 2 species
CACCGCCCGUCGCUCCUACCGAUUGAAUGGUCCGUUGAAUUGUUCGGAUCGCGGCGACGAAGGCGGUUCGCCGCCCCCGACGUCGUGAGAAGUCCAUUGAACCUUAUCAUUUAGAGGAAGGAGAAGUCGUAUCAAGGUUUCCGUAGGUGAACCUACGGAAG